rnacentral:rRNA from 1 species
CAAAAUCCGCCGGGCUUAGAUGAGGGGUGAUAACGAGUCUGCUUGCAGACGAAGUGAGUGAUACCCAGCUUCCAGGAAAAGCCACUAAGCUUCAGCUACACACGACCGUACCGCAAACCGACACUGGUGCGCGAGAUGAGUAUUCUAAGGCGCUUGAGAGAACUCAGGAGAAGGAACUCGGCAAAUUGAUACCGUAACUUCGGGACAAGGUAUGUCCCAAGUAGGUGAACUCGAACAGAGGGAGCCCAACGGGGUUGCAAAAAAUCGGUGGCUGCGACUGUUUAAUAAAAACACAGCACUCUGCAAACACGAAAGUGGACGUAUAGGGUGUGACGCCUGCCCGGUGCUGGAAGAUUAAAUGAUGGGGUGCAAGCUCUUGAUUGAAGUCCCAGUAAACGGCGGCCGUAACUAUAACGGUCCUAAGGUAGCGAAAUUCCUUGUCGGGUAAGUUCCGACCUGCACGAAUGGCGUAACGAUGGCCACACUGUCUCCUCCUGAGACUCAGCGAAGUUGAAAUGUUUGUGAUGAUGCAAUCUCCCCGCGGAAAGACGGAAAGACCCCAUGAACCUUUACUGUAGCUUUGUAUUGGACUUUGAACAGAUCUGUGUAGGAUAGGUGGGAGGCUUUGAAGUGAUGUCGCUAGAUGUCAUGGAGCCAACGUUGAAAUACCACCCUGGUGUGUUUGAGGUUCUAACCUAGGUCCAUUAUCUGGAUCGGGGACAGUGCAUGGUAGGCAGUUUGACUGGGGCGGUCUCCUCCCAAAGCGUAACGGAGGAGUUCGAAGGUACGCUAGUUACGGUCGGACAUCGUGACGAUAGUGCAAUGGCAUAAGCGUGCUUAACUGCGAGACUGACAAGUCGAGCAGAUGCGAAAGCAGGACAUAGUGAUCCGGUGGUUCUGUAUGGAAGGGCCAUCGCUCAACGGAUAAAAGGUACUCUGGGGAUAACAGGCUGAUACCGCCCAAGAGUUCAUAUCGACGGCGGUGUUUGGCACCUCGAUGUCGGCUCAUCUCAUCCUGGGGCUGUAGCCGGUCCCAAGGGUAUGGCUGUUCGCCAUUUAAAGAGGUACGUGAGCUGGGUUUAAAACGUCGUGAGACAGUUUGGUCCCUAUCUUCCGUGGGCGCUGCAGAUUUGAGGAAGCCUGCUCCUAGUACGAGAGGACCGGAGUGGACACACCUCUGGUGUAUCGGUUGUCACGCCAGUGGCAUUGCCGAGUAGCUAAGUGUGGAAGAGAUAACCGCUGAAAGCAUCUAAGCGGGAAACUCGUUUCAAGAUGAGAUCUGCCGGGGCCUUGAGCCC